rnacentral:rRNA from 1 species
UACGAGGGGGGCAAAUGUUGUUCGGAAUCACUGGGCUUAAAGGGCGCGUAGGCGGGCCACCAAGUCAGGGGUGAAAUCCCCCGGCUCAACCGGGGAACGGCUUUUGAUACUGGUGGCCUCGAGCGGGGUAGGGGCAUGUGGAACUUCCGGUGGAGCGGUGAAAUGCGUAGAUAUCGGAAGGAACGCCGGUGGCGAAAGCGACGUGCUGGACCCCUUCUGACGCUGAGGCGCGAAAGCCAGGGGAGCAAACGGG